UGGGGAAUUUUGGACAAUGGGCGAAAGCCUGAUCCAGCAAUGCCGCGUGUGUGAAGAAGGCCUUCGGGUUGUAAAGCACUUUUGUCCGGAAAGAAAUCCUUGGCUCUAAUACAGUCGGGGGAUGACGGUACCGGAAGAAUAAGCACCGGCUAACUACGUGCCAGCAGCCGCGGUAAUACGUAGGGUGCAAGCGUUAAUCGGAAUUACUGGGCGUAAAGCGUGCGCAGGCGGUUUGCUAAGACCGAUGUGAAAUCCCCGGGCUCAACCUGGGAACUGCAUUGGUGACUGGCAGGCUAGAGUAUGGCAGAGGGGGGUAGAAUUCCACGUGUAGCAGUGAAAUGCGUAGAGAUGUGGAGGAAUACCGAUGGCGAAGGCAGCCCCCUGGGCCAAUACUGACGCUCAUGCACGAAAGCGUGGGGAGCAAACAGGAUUAGAUACCCUGGUAGUCCACGCCCUAAAACGAUGUCAACUAGUUGUUGGGGAUUCAUUUCCUUAGUAACGUAGCUAACGCGUGAAGUUGACCGCCUGGGGAGUACAGUCGCAAGAUUAAAACUCAAAUG
rnacentral:rRNA from 1 species